GGUCACUAUUGCAUAGUGGCUUCCCCAGCAAUUUCCCACCGAGUUCAUUUGCCUUGGACUGGAAGAUGGGGGGCUGCUCAGGUCAUGAGAGAUCCCUGUGUCAAGGUCUGCUUCUGAGAAACCUACCCUCCUGAGACAGCCUUUCCUCACUGAAGACAGCGACUUGGAUCUGGGAGAGUGUGGCUAGAACGACUCAGGCGUCUCUUCCUUCAUUAAUAAGUCACUGGAGGCUAAUUCCUGUCUUUCCGUGUCCACGAAAAUGCCAGCACUUUGUCCUGUUGGUGAGUAGCAACUGAUAGAACAUAUGCUUUUGUAUGUACAAUGAGUCCAAAUUGGAACCCAAAUCCAAAAGUGCACAUUUUUAAAAUUUCACCUCCAAAAGACGUUCCCUCUUCCCAAAGAUAUAUGACUGGGGUGUCCCAUUCAACCAACGUGGGGCACAAGCCAGCCAUUAUCUUUUCUAUUCUUUAAUCACUCAACUCCCAUCUUCCCUUCUCAUCUGGAAGAAGUUUCCUCCUUUGGACCUUCUCUAUCUCCAUCUCCCGAUACUCUUGGGCCUUACAGACUUAAAGAGGUCAGUCCUACCUUUAAAUGCCUGAUGGAGCGAGAGCAAGAGCCUGCCCAAUCUUGUUCCUGCUAUUGCUUCUGUGGCUGCCAUAUGGUGUCACGUUGAAAACUGGUCCUGCAGAGUUGGAUGGAUGCUCCUCCAUUGGGAUCAGAGCCACAGCGCCUGCCACGCAGGCUGCAGCCCAGCUUCAUGGGUGCUGUUCUCACUCACAGCCAUGUGACCACAGGAUACAAACAUGCCGUCUGCAGCUGUUACAACUAUGCACAGAGACGUCGCUCUGCUCGUACAAGCCUUUGCACAGCCUGUGGUGCCCCAGCUCAGGCUCCAGUUCUUUGAUCUGCAUUCACACGCUCAGCAGAUUCCAUAUGUAAAGUUGAAAGAACAUCUAGCCCCAGCUCCUCUCCCCACCCCUCACUCUCCCCCACACCUCACACCCACGCACACCAGCCUCUAGGCCAUGCUGGUGAGCCUGGAUCCACAGCCUAGGCCUCCCCUCCUCCAUAGUGAGCUCAGCUUUGCUCCCUGCAGUGUCCUUUGAACAAGGGGCCUCAGAAUGACACAGUGCACCAUGGAGGCCCUAACAUCUCUGAACAUUAGCAGCUAGGGGCACAAUUACUAAUGCCCCCUCUGUUCCCUAGUCACCCAGCUCCCACCUUCCCAUCCCCUCCUCCCCAGAAGCCUAUUAGAGACAGGAUUGUACCUUCAAAAUUCAUAUGUUGACAACCUAAUCCCCAGGACCCCACCCUAGGACCUUUUUCGGAGAUAGGGCCUUUAAUGAAGGUAAACUAGAGGUCACAUGGUGAGCCCUACCUUAGUAUGACCAGCAGAGUCCUUAAAAGAAGAGGGCAUUAGAUCACAGACCUGCACAGAGGGAAGACCAUGUGAGGACACAGGAAGAAGACGGCCACCUGCAGACAAGGAGAGAGGCCUCAGAAGAAAGUUACCCUGCUGACACCUUACUCUUGGACACUUGGCCCCCAGAAUUGUGAGAAAGUAAAUUUCCGUAGUCUAGGCCACCCAGUUUGUGGGACUUUGUUAUGGCCAUCCCAGCAGAUGGCUAGAAAGCCCCUGGCAAACCUUCCCCCCUGCCAGCUCUGUCUCCCAAGGGGUACUGGGAAGAGGCAUCUUUGUUCACACUCAGAGGGUGUCUGCUUUUGCCCUGGGAUGACGUUGCCCCUCACCUGACAUUUUUCAUGACGAAGAGGAACCAUUCUCUUGUUCAAGGUGCAUCCUGCACUCCUCCCCCACCCCCAGCCAGAGAAGGGCCUGGAAGUGUCUUCCUCUAUGACCUCUCAUUACUCAUGACCAAAAUAACCAAGUUUUGCAACGACCACCUCCAGCAACCCACUCCCCACCUCGGGGUCUAAGGGCUUUUGUCUUGUCUUGAGCCCUGAAGCAGUGCUGGUCCUCCUGAUACUGGAUACUGUAGUGUGGUAAGGACUCUACCUACUGCUCUAUUUCACCUUCCAGAAUUGGAGAAGGAGUCUGCAGAAUGUUACUUAAAAAAAAAAAAAAAA
rnacentral:lncRNA from 1 species